rnacentral:lncRNA from 1 species
CUUCAUUCCCCACAACUAUGCUGAAAAGAGAAGGCUGUGGGGGCUGGUGCUGUAUGCUUUUGGAUAGUAGAUGGAGGAAAACAAGAAAAAGUGGUCAUGGUGCAAUAGUCAUCUGAUACUUUCAACAUUUACCAUGGCUUCCAUUCGCUCUACAGACUCCAGAUGAACUCGGUUUUCCAAUAUCAACUCUACCAAUCCCUACCCUCCAGUACCAGGACGUUCAGCAUAGCUGAAGGAUGUCACAAAAUUAUGAUGUAGUAUUCUCUAUGUUUUUCUUAAGUUGUAACUUCACUUAAGUUUCAUAGGUACUUAGCAAUUUUUGUAUACUUCUUGCUGCAAGAAUCAUGGUGACUGUUUCAAGGAUCUUACAAUUUGCUUUUGCCAUUUAGUAUAGUCUGCCUUAUGUUUUAUGUGUGUGUGUUUGUAUGUGUAUAAUUUCUGACUACAUCCUAGAGCUUGGUCCUAAGUUUUAAUAAAUUUUUACAGCCUCUAAGUCCAUAUUUAUUUAACAAAUAUUUAUUGAAUAAAUUAUAUGUGUUA